rnacentral:rRNA from 1 species
CACGUAGGGUGCGAGCGUUGUCCGGAAUUAUUGGGCGUAAAGAGCUCGUAGGCGGUGUGUCGCGUCGGCCGUGAAAACCUGCAGCUUAACUGUGGGCUUGCGGUCGAUACGGGCAUCACUGGAGUUCGGCAGGGGAGACUGGAAUUCCUGGUGUAGCGGUGAAAUGCGCAGAUAUCAGGAGGAACGCCGGUGGCGAAGGCGGGUCUCGUGGGCCGAUGACUGACGCUGGAGGAGCGAAAGCGUGGGGAGCGAAACAGG